rnacentral:rRNA from 1 species
GAUCAUGGCUCAGGAUGAACGCUAGCGGCAGGCUUAACACAUGCAAGUCGAGGGGUCUCGAGGAAGCUUGCUUUCGAGAGACGACCGGCGCACGGGUGAGUAACGCGUAUCCAACCUGCCCUUCAUAUUGGGAUAGCCUUCCGAAAGGAAGAUUAAUACCGAAUAACAUAGCGAGAUUGCCUGAUUUCUCUAUGAAAGCUCCGGCGAUGAAGGAUGGGGAUGCGUUCCAUUAGGUAGUAGGCGGGGUAACGGCCCACCUAGCCGACGAUGGAUAGGGGUUCUGAGAGGAAGGUCCCCCACACUGGAACUGAGACACGGUCCAGACUCCUACGGGAGGCAGCAGUGAGGAAUAUUGGUCAAUGGGCGCAAGCCUGAACCAGCCAAGUAGCGUGAAGGAUGACUGCCCUAUGGGUUGUAAACUUCUUUUUACGGGAACAACCGCAUCUACGUGUAGAUGCCUGCGUGUACCGUACGAAUAAGCAUCGGCUAACUCCGUG